CCUCCCCCCAUAUCCCCCUAACAUGUAUAAAUAUUUUAUUAAAAAAAUAAAAAAACAAGCACAUUAAAUUAAAAGCAGACUCACUCUCAGCCCAGCUGUGCUCCUCCUGAGAGUUUACCUGAAAGAAUCCAAGUCCGUAGCAAGUCAGAGACACUUGCCUGCUGGUAUUCAAGCACCGCUGUUCACAAUAGCUGAGCUGUGCAGCCAGCUCAGGGGCCAGCGACAGACCAAGGAACAGCAGGAGUGCACAUAUGAUACGUACAGUGAAGGUUUUGUCAGCCAGGAAGAAUGGUACUACAUCAUUCGCAGACAACCAAAAACAACUGGAGAAAAACCGUGGCACGCCAGUCUCAGAGAGACAAGACCGGAUGCUUUUCUCUCACCUCUGAUCAAGAUGUAGAGCCCUCCACUUCUCCUCCAGAACCAAGUCUACCUGCUCGGUGCCAUGCUUCCCACCAUGAUGACAACAGACUGAACCUCUGAAACGGGAGCCAAGAACUCUGAUGCUUCUAAAUUUACAUCUGGGUAGCAGAUUCGCUCUGAAGUUGGACUACUGGAAACAAAUUCAAUUUUUCAGAAAUGUUACAAAGAGUUACAUUCUUUCAGUCUCAUCCACCCAGCUCCUCAUUGGGGACAGAUGGUCUGUCCUCAACAACUGGAAGGAGCAUACCUCAGAGGAAUGUCACCGGCUGACCUGAGGGGAAACCAAA